GAUGAAGAACGUAGCGAAAUGUGAUAAGUAAUGUGAAUUGCAGAAUUCAGUGAAUCAUCGAAUCUUUGAACGCACAUUGCGCCCGCUAGUAUUCUGGCGGGCAUGCCUGUCCGAGCGUCAUUUCAACCCUCAAGCCCCCGGGCUUGGUGUUGGGGAUCGGCGAGCCUCCGCGCCCGCCGUCCCCUAAAUCUAGUGGCGGUCUCGCUGUAGCUUCCUCUGCGUAGUAGCACACCUCGCACUGGGAAACAGCGCGGCCACGCCGUUAAACCCCCAACUUCUGAAUGUUGACCUCGGAUCAGGCAGGAAUACCCGCUGAACUUAAGCAUAUCAAUAAGCGGAGGA
rnacentral:misc_RNA from 1 species